rnacentral:rRNA from 1 species
UACGUAGGGACCGAGCGUUGUCCGGAAUCAUUGGGCGUAAAGAGCGUGUAGGCGGCUUGUUAAGUCUUGCGUGAAAUCUCGGGGCUCAACCCCGAGCGGUCGUGAGAAACUGGCAGGCUAGAGUGCGGGAGAGGAGAGUGGAAUUCCUGGUGUAGCGGUGAAAUGCGCAGAUAUCAGGAAGAACACCAGUGGCGAAGGCGGCGAUCUGGGAAGAUACUGACGCUGAGGUGCGAAGGCGUGGGGGAGCAAACAGG